UAAUCAAUAGGUGCUUAUGCUCCAAUUCUUUUAUGGUGACCAUCUAAAAUAGAAAACAGCAGGACAAUUGCUAUGUCAUCAAACAUGAUCAUCAUCAGUACUAGGGUUUCUUUAGGCCAUGUUAUUAGUCUUGACCUGUCUAGGCAGCAUUGAUGCAUGUUCAUGUGUUCUUUUUCUUAAACUGUCAGUCAUUAUUUGACUAUGUUGUAUUGCUGUUGGCAUGUUCUAAUAUUUCAUGGCAAAUCUUAUAUCCCAAGUUUUUUAUAUGCCGUAGAGGACUAAGUACAACAACAUGGAGCCGGAUGCUAUUGAUUUCUUUGGGGAAUGUAUGAAUAGUCCCCGAAAUGGUCGUACUCCGCUUGCAAAUGAGAUAUAUGAGCAAAUGGUUGCAGAGAAGGAAAGAGAGCUAGAAGAAGGAGAAGCA